UAUUGCACUCGUCUCGGUCUCA
rnacentral:miRNA from 1 species